UUUUCGCUCUAAGAUGAGUCCGCGUCAGAUUAGGUGAGUUGGUGAGGUAGCGGCUCACCAAGGCGACGAUCUUUAACUGGUCUGAGAGGAUGAUCAGUCACACUGGAACUGAGACACGGUCCAGACUCCUACGGGAGGCAGCAGUAGGGAAUAUUGCACAAUGGAGGAAACUCUGAUGCAGCGACGCCGCGUGAGUGAUGAAGGCCUUCGGGUCGUAAAGCUCUGUCGCAGGGGAAUAACACAAUGAAUGUACCCUGUAAGAAAGGAUCGGCUAACUUCGUGCCAGCAGCCGCGGUAAGACGAGGGAUCCUAGCGUUGUUCGGAAUUAUUGGGCGUAAAGCGGAUGUAGGUGGCUUUGUAAGUCAGAUGUGAAAGCCCAGGGCUCAACCCUGGAAGUGCAUUUGAUACUGCGAAGCUUGAGUGUCGGAGAGGUUACUAGAAUUGUUGGUGUAGUGGUGAAAUCCAGGCCGUAGAUAUCAACAGGAAUACCGGAGGCGAAAA
rnacentral:rRNA from 1 species